rnacentral:rRNA from 1 species
AACGAACGCUGGCGGCAUGCCUAACACAUGCAAGUCGAACGAGACCUUCGGGUCUAGUGGCGCACGGGUGCGUAACGCGUGGGAACCUGCCCUUAGGUUCGGAAUAACUCCCCGAAAGGGGUGCUAAUACCGGAUAAUGUCUUCGGACCAAAGAUUUAUCGCCUUUGGAUGGGCCCGCGUUGGAUUAGGUAGUUGGUAGGGUAAAAGCCUACCAAGGCGACGAUCCAUAGCUGGUCUGAGAGGAUGAUCAGCCACACUGGGACUGCGACACGGCCCAGACUCCUACGGGAGGCAGCAGUGGAGAGUAUUGGACACUGGGCGAAAGCCUAAUCCAGCAAUGCCGCGUGAGUGAUGAAGGCCUUAGGGUUGUAAAGCUCUUUUACCCGGGAUGAUAAUGACAGUACCGGGAGAAUAAGCUCCGGCUAACUCCGUG